CAAGUGACCCCGGUUUACCACCGGGAUGUUCAUAACCCUUUGUUGUCCGACUCUGUUGCCUCCGGGGCGACCCUGCCUUCGGGCGGGGCUCCGGGUGGACACUUCAAACUCUUGCGUAACUUUGCAGUCUGAGUAAAUUUAAUUAAUAAAUUA
rnacentral:misc_RNA from 1 species